UUAGCCCUUGGAGGCCAGACCCGCGGCUGCAGGCAGAAGAGGGGAGGGCCCUUUAGGGGAAGCCUGAAAGCCCAGAGCGGAAGGAAAGCGUGCCGAAAGAACAAAAGCAAAGGAAAAGGGGAAAGUUCGCUUUUCGGCGGUCUGGAGUAUAAGUAGAGACCAAAUGGGGAGAUGUCUUGUGGGAGCCCCACUGGGCCAUGACAUGAGCAGUUUCUUCUACCAUACACACUCCUCUCAAUGUUCUGCCUUGCCACGGGCCCUGAAGCAUCAGGACCAACCAACCAUGGACUGAAACUCCUCAAACAGUGAGCCCAAGUGAGCCUCUCUUCAUUUUUAUUAUCUCAGCUAUUUUGCGGCAGUAAUGGAAAGCAGACACAUUACUCUCUCUGUUGUCCUUUUAAGUAUUCACCAAAUACUGAGAACUUCAUGAUAGAACUGACCUUUAACUCCACUUUUCCUGAGUUCCCGGUCUUGGACAAACCCUGCAAACAUCUGAGUCUCCAUGAACAGAUCAAGGAAGUGGCGUACACUUCGGGAGUGCCAGGGAUCAAACCCAGGGCCUCAUACACACUAGGCUGUUGGCAACAAAGAUUAUCCUCCGCUCCAAAAGUAGAGAAGCACAGACCCGGAUAAGAUGACACACACUCAGGCACUUGAAAAGACAUUCAAAAUCCACGUGUUCCAGUCGUGAAUCAAGUGGUCGGCAGAGU